UUAGAGUUUGAUCCUGGCUCAGAUUGAACGCUGGCGGCAGGCCUAACACAUGCAAGUCGAGCGGUAACAGGGGUAGCUUGCUACCCGCUGACGAGCGGCGGACGGGUGAGUAAUGCAUAGGAAUCUGCCCGGUAGUGGGGGAUAACCUGGGGAAACCCAGGCUAAUACCGCAUACGUCCUACGGGAGAAAGGGGGCUUCGGCUCCCGCUAUUGGAUGAGCCUAUGUCGGAUUAGCUAGUUGGUGAGGUAAUGGCUCACCAAGGCGACGAUCCGUAGCUGGUCUGAGAGGAUGAUCAGCCACAUCGGGACUGAGACACGGCCCGAACUCCUACGGGAGGCAGCAGUGGGGAAUAUUGGACAAUGGGCGGAAGCCUGAUCCAGCCAUGCCGCGUGUGUGAAGAAGGCCUUCGGGUUGUAAAGCACUUUCAGCGAGGAAGAACGCCUAGUGGUUAAUACCCAUUAGGAAAGACAUCACUCGCAGAAGAGCACCG
rnacentral:rRNA from 1 species